GACGAACGCUGGCGGCGUGCUUAACACAUGCCAGUCGAACGGAAAGGCCCUGCUUUUGUGGGGUGCUCGAGUGGCGAACGGGUGAGUAACACGUGAGUAACCUGCCCUUGACUUUGGGAUAACUUCAGGAAACUGGGGCUAAUACCGGAUAGGAGCUCCUGCUGCAUGGUGGGGGUUGGAAAGUUUCGGCGGUUGGGGAUGGACCCGCGGCUUAUCAGCUUGUUGGUGGGGUAGUGGCUUACCAAGGCUUUGACGGGUAGCCGGCCUGAGAGGGUGACCGGCCACAUUGGGACUGAGAUACGGCCCAGACUCCUACGGGAGGCAGCAGUGGGGAAUAUUGCACAAUGGGCGGAAGCCUGAUGCAGCAACGCCGCGUACGGGAUGACGGCCUUCGGGUUGUAAACCGCUUUCGCCUGUGACGAAGCGUGAGUGACGGUAAUGGGUAAAGAAGCACCAGCUAACUACGUG
rnacentral:rRNA from 1 species